rnacentral:tRNA from 3 species
GCUGGUAUCGUAUAGUGGUAUUACGCUGGUCUUGUAAUCCAGUCACGGUGGUUCGAUUCCUCCUACCAGCACCA